rnacentral:rRNA from 1 species
UUUAUUGGAGAGUUUGAUCCUGGCUCAGGAUGAACGCUGGCGGCGUGCCUAAUACAUGCAAGUCGAGCGAAUGGAUUAAGAGCUUGCUCUUAUGAAGUUAGCGGCGGACGGGUGAGUAACACGUGGGUAACCUGCCCAUAAGACUGGGAUAACUCCGGGAAACCGGGGCUAAUACCGGAUAAUAUUUUGAACUGCAUGGUUCGAAAUUGAAAGGUGGCUUCGGCUGUCACUUAUGGAUGGACCCGCGUCGCAUUAGCUAGUUGGUGAGGUAACGGCUCACCAAGGCAACGAUGCGUAG